UACGGGGGGGCAAGCGUUGUUCGGAAUUACUGGGCGUAAAGCGCACGUAGUCGGCUUUGCAAGUCGGGUGUGAAAUCCCCGGGCUCAACCUGGGAACUGCAUCCGAGACUGCAUUGCUAGAGUAUGGGAGAGGGAAGCGGAAUUUCUGGUGUAGCAGUGAAAUGCGUAGAUAUCAGAAGGAACAUCAGUGGCGAAGGCGGCUUCCUGGACCAAUACUGACGCUGAGGCACGAAAGCGUGGGGAGCAAACAGG
rnacentral:rRNA from 1 species